GCUUAUUUUCUUUUCCUGGCAUUUACAGUGGCUUCAAACACAACUGUGAGCACUACAACACCAAUGAUGACUACAGUUACAAAUGCAAUCACAGCAAAUGUUACAAACACCACACCUAUAACAAAUACAUCUAUGGUGCCUACAACAGCUUCAACUACACCUGUAAACACUACAACACCAAAGAUCACUGCAAAUACAAACACAACCACAACGACUCCUACAACCAACACACCUGUAACAACUACAACAGCUGAGCCAGUAACACGAGUAUUACUGACAUUCACCUCAGAUGAAACAUUCACACAAGACUUGGCUAAUUCUACAUCUACAGCAUUUAUAAAUCGAAGCAGGCUCAUAGAGACAACACUUACACCUUUUUACAGUGCAACAUUUGAUUCAUUCCAGUCAUUGAGAGUUGUUGCAUUCAGGUAACUUUUUUAUAUACAGAUGGAAUUUUACAAAUAUGUGUCAUACAUUAACAAAAAAAUUACAAUAUUUUUGUUUAUUCAUUUUACAGAAAUGGAUCCAUCAUCAGUGACAUUGAAAUACGGUUUGCAUCUACAUCAGUGCCUAAUGUAACUGAGAUUGCAAAUGUUUUGAUCAAUGCAGCCUCAAACAUAACAGCCUUCAACAUUACCACAACCUCUGUUGUUGUCCGUGAAAUAGGUAAGCAAUAUUUAAUGUUAUUAUGCUUUAGAGUCACAAUAUCUUAAAACUGUUUGUUAAAGCAACGGCUUGUUUUAUUUUCUUGGCAUUUAACAGUAGCUUCAACUACAACUGUGAGCACUACAACACCAAUGAUGACUACAGUUACAAACGCAAUCACAGCAAAUGUUACAAACACCACACCUAUAGCAAAUACAUCUAUGGUGCCUACAACAGCUUCAACUACACCUGUAAACACUACAACACCAAUGAUAACUACCCCUACAAACACAACCACGAUGACUCCUACAACCAGCACACCUGUAACAACUACAACACCUGAGCCAGUAACAGGACUAUUGCUGACAUUCACCUCAAAUGAAACAUUCACACAAGACUUGGAGAAUUCUACAUCUACAGCAUUUAUAAAUCGAAGCAGGCUCAUAGAGACAACAGUAAGUAUCCUUUUGAAGUUUCAUACCCAAACAUAUGCAUGCACAUACG
rnacentral:lncRNA from 1 species